rnacentral:rRNA from 1 species
UACCAGCACCCCGAGUGGUCGGGACGAUUAUUGGGCCUAAAGCAUCCGUAGCCGGUUUUACAAGUCCCCCGUUAAAUCCAGCUGCUUAACAGAUGGGCUGCGGAGGAUACUAUAAGACUAGGAGGCAGGAGAGGCAAGCGGUACUCAGUGGGUAGGGGUAAAAUCCGUUGAUCCAUUGAAGACCACCAGUGGCGAAGGCGGCUUGCCAGAAUGCGCUCGACGGUGAGGGAUGAAAGCUGGGGGAGCAAACGGG